UUAGAUCUGGCAAGAAGAUCAGGAAGACUCGGAAAUAUGAUAUAAUCACUACACCUGCCGAAAGAGUCGAGAUGGCUCCCUUAAACGAAGAAAAUGAGGAUGAAGACGACUCGACUCUUUUUGAUGUAAAAUACAGGUGAAUAUCAUCAUGAAAUCUGUAUGAUGUUACAGCACAUGUUGAAUUUUACUGGAUACACCAAAUUAGGACUUUACUCGCUGUGUCUCCACGCAACUCCCCUCCAUUGAUCAUUUCCAGUCUUCAGUGGUGUAAGCGGGACAUUGGAGGAAGGUCAAAUCAUCCCGGCAUGUUUUCCAUUUCAUGGCUCCAAUAAGAAUGGCAUGGAGGACUCCACGUUUUAUCCCUGGCCAUCUCUGCAUUUGCCUGUUGAUAAUCAAAUAAAUGUUCUUGUUGGAACUCUUUUGCCUAGAACUUACCUGCAUAUCAAGAGGGAAUGUGAAAUUAGAUUAAACAUUUAGCCAUAGUUCAUAGUUAAAAGACGAGAAAGGAAAAGUUACUUCACUACUUUACUUUACCAACAGAACUGUUGCACUUCAUCUGAAACCAAUGCUAAGGUUUUCUUUUGGAAGUCCAAUAUUAGUAAUACCUCUGGGAAUGCACUGAAGAAGUAUGGAGCUCAUGUGAGACACUGCUGGUAUUCAAUGGUUUUUGCUACUGACAUUCAUUUCCCAUGUCACAUGUUCAUAUUUUAUUGGGGGGGGAUGGUAUGCAUUCUUGUGCUCACCUAAUGUGUCAUCAUGUAGUUUAAGAUUGACGCUAAUAUGUGUUAUACACAAUGCACAUAUCUCUAAUUGGUAUCAUUCCCAUAAAAGAUUCGAAGAAACCAGUUCUUGACAAACAGACCAAACCAAAAGGCUCAAGGUUUUCAUGUAAUCUCUUUAACCUUUCGACACUUCAGACCCUUAGACAUUUUUUGUAAACUUUUUACAAUAUUGAAAACCACUAUUAGUGCGUACAUACUGUAUGACUUUCAGUUUGUGUCCUUGAACUGAAUACCUGUGUGGGCUUGCACUGGCUGCAAUGGCUUCAGUUAGUUCUGUUAACAUAUGGACAUAUCAGUAAGAUGUCAGCCUAAAUGUGUUGAGUGCUCUUGGUAGCCAAAUAAUAAAAUAUUUAAAUGAUAUAACUUCCUUUGUUCUUAACCAGCAAAACCUUCACAAGUGUUGGAAACAAAUAUGUUUUCUACAUGAAACACAUCUUGAGAAGUUACAAAGUGUUGGAAGACAGAUCCACCAUCUGUUUUCAUGUUUGGACAAACUUUUAGGAGUUGUGUAUGUGGUCACAUCAUGGGAUCCUGUUCAUUUAUGCUCCAUAACCUAUGUACAAGUGUAUAGCCUGUUAUACUGAGGUUGUUUUGCCAUGCAAUAUCUGUAUAUGUGCAGACUUUCAAGUUGAAUGAGAGUUAACGUCUCGUUGACUGAUUCAACAGAGCCUAUUCUGUGUACUGCUGCCGUUAAUGAUUGACCAUAGUAACUGGUCAUGGCGUGCCACAGAGUCAGUCAGCCAGCCAACUUAACACCUCAGAAAUUGUUUAUAGGGAUUUAUUUGAAGAUCAUUUUUACAGUCAUAUACUAUGAAUAACAUACUUUGGACAGGUUAAAUCGAUUAACUAUAGAAGAAAGAUGGUUCAUUUUAUUUUGUGUUUUUUUUUUUAGGUCAUGACAAUUAUUUUUUGAGACAUAUCUGUUAUUCUUGCAGUCAAUUGAAGCAUUGAAAAAUCAUCUGCGUCGGUUCUGGGUUUGGAAUAGAAGUGUGCACAAAGGGUGGUGAAUGGAAUGACCGCGUGCAUUAUCAGUGGGGUUGGGAACGGGGCAUUCUUUUUGGUUUAAGUGUUCAAGUUGGCUAACAACAUAAAAUUAAGUCCAAGUAUAAAUACUUUUUAUAAACAGAAUACAAUGGGUGGGGCGCUGUACUUAGAUGUUCAAAGUCUAAUUAGGGGAAUGAUUGAUUCAUGUGUCAGAAUGACUUUCUAAUGACUGGAAAUUCCAUCCAGACUGGUAAUGCACUCUACAAAAGCAUGUUUUUUUAUGCCUUUCUUGAAAAGUCAUAAACAUUAUCUUUUUUAUUAUUAUUAUUAUUUUUUUUUUUACUUCCAUCAUGUUUUCAGACCAAUUCUUUCUAUGUCCAUAGUCAUCCUCUGCACUUUAGACUGUGGUGCAUCAUGUCUAUGCACCCUGUUGAAGCAUCAAUCUACUAAUGCAAUGGUGUUGUAAAGAAACACUUGUUAAUUCAUGCAUAUUUCCUUAGAUGUUUGCCAUCUAUGGCAAGCCAUCUAUGUUUUUGCAUUCAUCUUUAAAUGAACAUUUUUUUUUUUUUUUUAAUCAUUUGUGAAGAAUGUCACAUGCUAAUGUGCUGGUUUUGUUGAUUUGUGUAUACUUCAUAGCCACAGAUUGUGUGUUCAUUUUGAUAAUCGUCAUAUAUAUAUAUAUAUACAAAUACAUAUAUAUACAUAUAUAUAUAUAUAUAUAUAUAGAACAUGAUUUUGACAUAGGUCAAGUGACUGAACCAUGUGUUCCAUAGUUAUUAAAAACUGGAAUCUUCAAAAAUUGUAUAUUUCAAUGAGUUAAAUAUUUUAUUUUCAUAAAGAUUGUAAUAAAUUAAUAUUCUUCCUGUUUUGUUAUAUAUGGAACUGAUUUCUCUGUACAUGUCUGAUGUCUUCAAACUGUCCUUAUACUCUCACCGUGACUUCUGUUGUCUCCUUAGUCCUAGGAAUAAACUAGUGGCAGAUUCACCACAGAAUAAAAUCCGCUGUGAGCCCACAACAGUUGCAUGUGCUACAGCUUUUUUUUUUAGACUGACCACAAGACAGAUUUCUUUGAUGUUAGUAUAGUUAUUCAGUGUGAUUAUGGUGUGAAAUACCACAGAAAUAUAGGGGAAAACAACAACAACUGUCAAACUGUUUGAUCUUUGCUUUUUAAAAAAAGCUCUUUGAGAGCCUCUAAGAAAACAUCACUUCAACGUCUAGAGUGUCUACAAGUGGUCUGAAAAUAAAUGAUUUUACAAAAACAA